GUGCGUUGUGGGCUUUAGCCCGUCACUCCCAUCAUUUUUCACCUCUCCGGUUUUGAGCUUAGCGGGCAGGCUUCCGUGUCAAGGGUGUGCUUCACCCAAGGGUCUAAGGGAGGACUUGUAGCUCCUGUUUGCCACUCUUCGCAGUCUCCAAGGUCGCUUUCGUUCCCUGGCUGGCUUCCUUGGUAAAAUCACACAUAUGCUAUUCUUUUUCUCUGUGUUUUAUCACUGCAAGUCAGAUGUGGACUUUCAGCUUCUCGAGAUUGGACUGAGGCCUGUAAAGGAGAGAUUGAAAUGAUUUAUUUAUUUAUGAAUACAAGAACUGGGGUACUGGCCAGAUGUGCGGAGGGUGAGAGGAUUCGCAAGAGUGGGGAGCAGAACAGGCAGUCGGACUGAAAUACACGGCUGAGGGGAACAGCAGGUUUGGGAUCCUUUCCAGUGGGACUGUUACUCAUGAUGCUGAGGAGCAUUCUCUUCGAUGUGAUUUUUGGUGAACACAAGAACAAACCUCUCAGGAAUAUAUGUAGGAGAACUAUUGAGUUACAGAGUCUGUAUAUACUCACUUGAGUAGGUAUUGCUGAACAGUGUUCCAUAGAAGUUUGAUAUUUUUGAUAUUUUUCAUCUUGACCAUUUGGGUGAGUAUGUAGUGGAGUAUCAUUGUCUAUUUAUUAUUUAUUAUUUCUUUUUAAAAAAUGUUAUUUAAAAGAAAGGAAUAUGGUGGGGGGAGAAUUAUGGGGUCCAUACCUAAGGGGAAAAACCAACUACUCUACAGAAAUGAACAACUAUGUAAGAAAAUUUUUUAAAAAAUUAGUAUUUAAUUUACAUUAGUAGUCCAUGAAUGAGUCACUUUUCAUAUGUUUACAAACCAUUUAGAUGUACUCUUUUCUAAAAUGUCUGUUCAAGUCUUUGGCCCAUUGUGUAUUGGGUUGCCUGUCUUUAGCCUCACUGAUUUGUAGAAGUUCUUGAUAUAUUCUGAAUAUUUGACUCUUGUUGGACAUAUGUAUUGCAGCAUUUCUCUCCCUCUCUUUCUCUCUCUCUCUCACUGUUUUAUUAUUUUAUAGUAUGUUUUAUUUGAUAAGCAGAAUUUAAAAAUUGUUAUAUAGUGUAAUUUAUCAGGUGUUUUUCCUUCCUGGUUGGCAUUUUUUAUUAUUUAAAUCUUUUUCCUCUUCAAGUUCAUGGAGAUGUUUGCUUAUGCUUUCUUCCAAAAGUCUUAUUGUUUUACCUUCUACAUUUAGAUAUCAGUUCAUCUGGAAUUGUUUUACUAUGUUGUCUGAGAUCAGGAUUUCCCCCCAAUAGGGACAUUUAACUAAUCCUGCACCACUUAUUAAAAAUAUUAUACUUUCCCCUAGUGCAUUUCUGGCAUGGAUCUGUAUCUGGCAUU